CCGUCAACCUCGACCUCCAGUGGGUGCUGGGCAAGAUGCCCCAAAAGGAGUUCCACCUGAGCCAGUCCCGUCCCCCUGCGCCCUGAGCCUCCCCACGGGGCUGUCGGUGCGGGAGGCGCUGGAGAGGGUGCUGAGGCUGCCGGCCGUGGCCAGCAAGAGGUACCUCACCAACAAGGUUGACCGCUCUGUCACCGGUCUGGUGGCCCAGCAGCAGUGCGUGGGUCCCCUGCACACGCCGGUGGCCGACGUGGCCGUGGUGUCCCUGUCCCACUUCGGGGACGUCGGGGCCGCCACGGCCAUCGGGGAGCAGCCCAUCAAAGGGAUCCUGGACCCCCGGGCGGGGGCACGGCUGGCCCUGGCUGAGGCCCUCACCAACCUCGUCUGGGCACGGGUCACACACCUCA